CUCUGUCAACAGGGCUUGUCGAUGUCAGCCCAUCAUGCUUCCUUUCAGUUCUGUCAAUGUGUCCAGGCGACAGUGUGGGGACGGUCUUGUGCUCUUGACGGGCACGUCUUAGCGACCGGCCGUUUGAAGAGGCGGCACCGCCAUUGUGUCAACUUUUUUUUAACGAACGCGAAGUCUACGUGUCCACACAGACUCGGCCAACAUAACCUCCGAGCGCAGGAGACCAGAGGACGCAGUCAUCAGGUCGUCGCCCAUUUCUGCUCGGCGCUACUCCUCUGCUGCAACCCCUGUCUUAGCAUCGCUGUUUGCCGGCAAGCAUGAAGAUGAUCAUCUUUACCAUUACCCUCCUAAUAAUUUCAGACUACGUGUGGCCUUGCGACGCCACAGGUUCCACUAUCUGCUCACGCGCUUUCAUGGUCAUCCGUAAAAGCUUCGGCUGCCCAUUUGGGUCCAACGAAUGUUCCAAGUACUGCAAGGAAAAGAAGGCCCAGAAAGGAGGAUACUGCACUGGGAGAUUCAAAGAAAACUGCGUCUGCUUUCGGAACUGAAUUUAACAGUAACGUUUCUUUGACACCAAGGCAUUUCUAUGCCUGCGCGUUGACAAACUGAGCGAAAUACAGCCGGUCGUACAGAAGCA
rnacentral:misc_RNA from 1 species